rnacentral:rRNA from 1 species
AGAUUAAGUUAUUAAGGGCGCACGGUGGAUGCCUUGGCACUAGAAGCCGAUGAAGGACGUUACUAACGACGAUAUGCUUUGGGGAGCUGUAAGUAAGCUUUGAUCCAGAGAUUUCCGAAUGGGGAAACCCAGCAUGAGUUAUGUCAUGUUAUCGAUAUGUGAAUACAUAGCAUAUCAGAAGGCACACCCGGAGAACUGAAACAUCUUAGUACCCGGAGGAAGAGAAAGAAAAUUCGAUUCCCUUAGUAGCGGCGAGCGAAACGGGAAGAGCCCAAACCAACAAGCUUGCUUGUUGGGGUUGUAGGACACUCUAUACGGAGUUACAAAGGACGACAUUAGACGAAUCAUCUGGAAAGAUGAAUCAAAGAAGGUAAUAAUCCUGUAGUCGAAAAUGUUGUCUCUCUUGAGUGGAUCCUGAGUACGACGGAGCACGUGAAAUUCCGUCGGAAUCUGGGAGG